ensembl:lncRNA
GUGCAUUGCUUUUGAGAGAGUUAAACACACCAAUUAACUGAUGUUAAAAGAGAACUUAAAUUUUUUAAGGUUUGAAAUAGAACUUAAAUUUUUUUUUAAAUGUCAGCAUCUCUGCAGGACCGCACUGCUUGCUGUUUGGGUGUCUAGACUUGUCAGAUAGAAACCUUAGCCUGUUGUUUUGAGCUGAGAAAUUCAUCCUGAGCCUGUGACUUGGAGAGGUGUGAGGGAAGAUGCACACUGCUUGGUUUGUAGGGCACUUUGGGAUCGGUGUCAGGAGAAAGCCAGCCAGACAAGUUGGUGAGGUGACACUCGUGACAGAUGUCUGCCCCGUUUCUGUAAAGCUGCUGACAACAGUGAGAAGAGUGGCAGCGGAGACAGGCUGACUUUUGGGACCGGGACGCGUUUAGCAGUGAGGCCCAGUAAGUCUGAGAGGAAAGUGGAACAUUUAUGUCUCUUCCUAUCAUUUGUUCUAGCAUAAUUUUUGCAUUGUCCUGUUUUACAUGCCAGAUGUACAAACCAUAGCCCCUUUAAAUGUCUGUGGCUGAGGGCCUCUGUCCUCCCCAUCUUCUCCUACGUGACAGGGGCGUGUUUUGUGACCUUGUCUCUCUCAUGAAGAAAUCGACAGCAGUGCAGUUGGUAGCCAUGUGCUGGCAGUCCCUGCCCUCAUCUCCAGUCCCCUUAUCUCGUUAUGUGGUUUUUGAGUUUUCACAACAGCAACAGGGAGGGGAAGAAAUGACCAGCAGCUUCAGCAGGGCUGUGAGCUGUUCCUGGUGUCUGAGGGCUUUGGAGCAGCUGUAGCUAGAAGUUCUGGAGGUUCAGGGCAUGGGUCUCUGGCAGAGAGAUUUAUGUAAAGGGUUGACAUGGGGUGUGAAUACAGGAGGAGGUAACAGACUCAUCUUUGGAAAAGGGACUCAGCUCAUCAUCCAGCCCCUGGGUGUCUUCUGGUGUCUACAAUAAGCUGACCUUUGGAACCGGAACCAGGCUGACUGUACACUCACAAGUCAAGGACCCCAACCCCACUGUGUACCAGCUGAGAAGCCCCCAAUCCAGUGACACUUCUGUCUGCCUAUUCACCGAUUUUGAUUCAAAUCAAGUCAACAUGGAAAAAAUCAUGGGGUCCGAGGGGAGCACGGUGCACAAAACAAACAGCACCGUGCUCAACAUGGAGAUCCUGGGAUCCAAGAGCAACGGGAUAGUGACUUGGGGAAACACCAGCGAUGCUGGAUGCGAAUACACCUUCAACGAGACCAUUCCCUUCGCCUCCAGCUUGGAAAUCUCCUGUAAUGCCAAGCUGGUAGAGAAAAGCUUUGAAACAGAUAUAAACCUAAACUCCCAAAACCUGUCAGUGAUAGUGUUCCGCAUCCUCCUCCUGAAGGUGGUCGGGUUUAAUCUGCUCAUGACGCUGCGGCUCUGGUCCAGUUGAGGUCACCGACAACCUGAGAGCCCCGUGCUCCCUCGCCCCUUGCUCCUCGUCGCCCUUCCUCUCCCUCUUCAAGCAGAGAGGCGCACUCUCUGCCCCCAUGGAUGAGAAGGCUCCCUCCUCCUCUCUGGCCUGGCUGGCCAUAACACCAACUGGAUCCUCCAGAUACUGGUGAUCAAGAUGCUGACAAGCUGCCCAGCACGGCUGCCACCCACUCUCUUCCUCACUGCUGCUUGUCACUGCCUGGCAUUCUUGGCAAAGUCGGGGGGCUGCUGCAGCCUCUCCUGGCUGUGGGGACACUCCCUCCCCACCCCCACCCCCCAGAGACUGCCUCUGAUGUCCCACUGGAUGGUGGAUCCCCAGUGGGUUCUCCUGGGCUCUAGCUCCUGGAGAAUGUUGUGUGUUGUUUAUAUUUUUUUACAUAGUGUUCAUAAAAAAAUAUAUAUCACCCUUUUCCCCAACAUGUGGGGAAAAAUUAUCUUUUCACGAUCUAGGCCCUGCUCUUCUGUGUAUCCGAGCCACAUUGUAUAUUCUGCUGCCACGGCUUCAAUAAAAGCGAUUUGGAAGAGAC